GACGAACCGUCCAAACGUUAUUCGGAAUCACUGGGCUUAAAGGGUGCGUAGGCGGCCGUGCAAGUCGGGUGUGAAAUCCCUCGGCUCAACCGAGGAAUUGCGCCCGAAACUGUGCGGCUAGAGGGAGACAGAGGUGAGCGGAACUUAGGGUGGAGCGGUGAAAUGCGUUGAUAUCCUAAGGAACACCAGUGGCGAAGGCGGCUCACUGGGUCUCUUCUGACGCUGAGGCACGAAAGCUAGGGGAGCGAACGGG
rnacentral:rRNA from 1 species